GCACUGCUGACGAGUCCCAUAAUAGGACGAAACAGCUAUCUAGUGC
rfam:Schistosoma haematobium scaffold15_42, whole genome shotgun sequence.